AGCGAACGCUGGCGGCAGGCCUAACACAUGCAAGUCGAACGAACCUUUCGGGGUUAGUGGCGGACGGGUGAGUAACACGUGGGAACGUGCCUUUAGGUUCGGAAUAACUCAGGGAAACUUGUGCUAAUACCGAAUGUGCCCUUCGGGGGAAAGAUUUAUCGCCUUUAGAGCGGCCCGCGUCUGAUUAGCUAGUUGGUUGAGGUAAUGGCUCACCAAGGCGACGAUCAGUAGCUGGUCUGAGAGGAUGAUCAGCCACAUUGGGACUGAGACACGGCCCAAACUCCUACGGGAAGCAGCAGUGGGGAAUCUUGCGCAAUGGGCGAAAGCCUGACGCAGCCAUGCCGCGUGAAUGAUGAAGGUCUUAGGAUUGUAAAAUUCUUUCACCGGGGACGAUAAUGACGAUACCCGGAGAAGAAGCCCCGGCUAACUUCGUG
rnacentral:rRNA from 1 species